GAUGAAGAACGUAGCGAAAUGCGAUAAGUAAUGUGAAUUGCAGAAUUCAGUGAAUCAUCGAAUCUUUGAACGCACAUUGCGCCCGCCAGUAUUCUGGCGGGCAUGCCUGUUCGAGCGUCAUUUCAACCAUCAAGCCCCCGGCUUGUGUUGGGGACCUGCGGCUGCCGCAGGCCCUGAAAUGCAGUGGCGGGCUCGCUGUCACUCCGAGCGUAGUAGUUACAUCUCGCUCUGGGCGUGCUGCGGGUUCCGGCCGUUAAAAGCCUUAUUUACCCAAGGUUGACCCCGGAUCAGGUAGGAAGACCCGCUGAACUUAAGCAUAUCAAUAAGCGGAGGA
rnacentral:misc_RNA from 1 species